CCUACGGGAGGCAGCAGUAGGGAAUAUUGCGCAAUGGGCGAAAGCCUGACGCAGCGACGCCGCGUGGGGGAUGAAGGUCUUCGGAUUGUAAACCCCUUUCGGGAGGGAAGAUGGAGCGAGCAAUCGUUCGGACGGUACCUCCAGAAGCAGCCACGGCCAACUUCGUGCCAGCAGCCGCGGUAA
rnacentral:rRNA from 2 species